rnacentral:pre_miRNA from 1 species
CGUACCAGGAAUGUGUUUACAUUAUGUUUCGUAAAAGAUGUAAAUGCAUUUUCUGGUAUGUC